UUAAAGUCAUUUUGACCUCUAUGACCUUAAAUGCAUCACCAAGUUUUUCCAUUUCCUGAGCUUAUUCCAUGAAUGUUACCACAGCCUCACUGUUGAGCUAUACUCUCCCAUUACCUCAGCCACAUUACAGAAACACAAAGGCUUUGCAAUCCUGAACAAUAUCAAGAGUAUUUCCUUCCUUGUCUUGUCCUUACCCCUUCCCAUCUGAGCUGUGCAACACUGAAAACCUCCUCUUAUUUUGCAAAGGGAAAUUGAGUCUGAUAUGAUCAUGGGAAAUCCUGCACUGAAUCUUGGACACUGGACAAAAGCAUUUGUUCAAACACUUAAUGACACAACAGGGCAGUGCUACAAGAAGCUAUAAAAGGUCUUGUGCAUUAGUUUGUCUGUGGCAGACAGUUUCUGGACUUGCUCCUUUUAUGGUCGCUAGCCUUCCCUCUAGUCCUUCAGCAGGCCAGUAGUCAGCUUCCUUUGUUUGUUUUCUGGUUAACCAAAUCCUUCCUCUUACUGAUGAGAGGUAACAAAGGGCUUGCUUUAAUCUGGAAUCCUUUGCAGCUUUUCUUUGAGUCCCCCAAAGAACCAACUAUGAGUCCGCCUUAGCUCUACUAGCUCAAGAGUAAGUAGUUUUGAGGUCUCCAAAAUUUGUUAGUCCAUUUGUUAGAUUGGUGCUUCAAGCAACAGUGACAGAAAAAGAAAGUUCAUAUAAACUAUUUUUGUCACAUUUUAUCUACAGCUUUAUCUAAAGCAUCCUUGAGAUAAAGCACAUUCACUUAACCGUCAGCAGAGGACUCAACUCAAACAAACUAUUACAACAUUUGAUUCUACAUUAGUAAUUUGUCAAUGAUGACAAAUGCUGAAAUCCAGUUGUAAAUAAGACCUGGAUGCUAUCACAGGAAGAAACAGACUGGAGGACAAACAAGCCCCUUGACGUACUUCCUAGGGGAGCUGAGAGGCCACAGACGUCAAAUUUUGCAGCGAUUGGACCCUCUUACCCGCUGGGUCAUUUCCACCUUUAAAAGCAAUCUGAACACCUGACCCACCCUUCCACCUCUUUGUGUUCAGCUCAACUCCCUAGAAACAACUCUUUACAGCCUUGAGUCAAUCUGAAGGGUUGCUAAAAUUAAGCCAGCCGUGCACACACAGCCACUUUUGAAGUGCUAUCUUUCUGCUGCAGUCAGAAAUGUGACCUGCAAAGAUAUGAAGGAUCCCUGCCCGUACAGUUUCAGAAUAAAUAAAAAAAGCUUUGAUCAGAGGUAUUGCAUUAUUAAUUUUUACAGCUGAAAAACUAUUUUAAAUAUGUACAAGAAAUAUAUAAACCCCCACCACAUUAGACAUACAGUAACAAAACUAUACAUGAUUUAACAGUAAUGAAAUUUUGGAGAGGUUGCUUAACAACCAGUGUAGAUAACUGACUGUUCCCUGCAAAGGAACAGAUAAUAUUUAAGUACUUUCAUUGCCAACAUCAUGGUUAUUUUUAUUUGUAAACUGUCAAAAUGAUUUUUAAAAAAAAAGUAAUUAAAAUCAGUGAAGCUGAGGGGAAAAUGCCUCAAGUGGUUGUUUUUCUCGGGUGCAAAAUGAAAGUCAGCAUUGUCCUCGAUGUUAGUCUUUUGCUGUGUUGAUUAAAUGUGCCCAUCAUUAAAAACUAUCAUUGAUCAUUUUUAUGUCUUAUUGAUAAUGAUCAGGUCACACUGACAUGAUGUCUCCCUUAAGUGUGAAUAGAUUAACAUUGAAAGAGGGAUUAAAGACUAUUUCUCUGCUCCAGAAGGUUAGCUAUCAUGGUUAUGAAAAUGCUGAAGUUCUCAUUCAGGGUUAACCAGUAUUUAGAAAUGUUACCAGGAGUUUUUUUUAGACUGGUCACCUGGUUAAUUAUCAUAUGCUUGUAUGUGUGUAUAACUGUUUGACAGAGUGUAACCUCAAAUGACAAACAUGACCCUACUACUGGAUAGUUUAUGUCCUGUUCAUAAUGACCAGUAUCCCCACAAUCUUGAAAAUCUGUCAUCAUGACCAUGACCUGAAGUUAUGUGUCGUGUUCCCAGAUUUCAUGGUUUAUUUUAGAACUCCAGAUCAACUAAUCCAGUGAUGACUUUGGCUGCUGUCCAGUCAGCGUUUACACUCAGAAUAAAUCUGUGUGUGUGUGUGUGUGUGUGUGUGUGUGUGUGUGUGUGUGUGUGUGUGUGUGUGUGUGUGUGUGUGUGUGUGUGUGUGUGUGUGUUUCAGAAAAUGGGCAGAGGGUAAGCGGCAGACCAGAAGCUUCUCUGGGAAAACACAAACUCCAAACAGUACAAACCACUAGAGUGCAGACUGGUCGAGACCUGGAGCAGGACCCUGCAUUCCAUAGAAACCCCCCGCCUCAAGCCUUCCACUUCCACUACAUGCUGAGAGAGAGAGAGGGAGUGAUGAAAAGAUGAGAACAAAGGUAGGAAGACAAGGAGCAGGACACAUACUCGUCGCAGAGACACAGUGAUGGUUUUCCUGAUGUGACUCAGAGAGAUAUGAAUAGGAUGACUCAGAUGUCAGAGGUCCCUCAGCGGGACAUUCCUUCUCAGGACCUGCAUCUGCAGGAUGUUCAUAAGUCUGAAGACAGAAGCAGCAGCUUCCUGCUUCAUGACUCAUUUUUCUGUAUCAUACAUCUGUGUCAUUAUGUCAUUUUGGCAGUGAACACAGAAAUGAUUAAAAAUUUCCUCUACAGGGAGUACUGGUUUAGGUCAGUUUAAUGUAUUGCAGCCCAGGUUUAAAUCCCACCAGUUAACCUUUACCACAUCUUCCCCAAAACACAGAGCAACAAAGUCAUACUGGUGAGUUACAGUAACGGUUGUCAUUUUAACUUCAGAAAGAACUUUAUAAUAUACAAAUGUUUAAAUGAAGCAGAAUUAUUUUCUUUUCUCUUCAGCUCUAAACUUAACUUAUCUUAACCUCUGAUCAUAACUGAAGCCACUCACUUCCUGUCGGUUAACUCCAAAGCAGUGACCUGCCUUAUCCUUUAGGGGGUCCCUAAAUUUAUUCCAUGGAAAUAAUCUGGUAUGUGAAUUUAUAUUGCAAAAGUGAACAAAUUGUAGCUGACUGAUGUUUGACUUGUUACUAAAAGAUAGAUUUAAAACCAAAUUUCAGACAGGGAUGACUUCACAAAACUGAGAUUUUUCUUUGCUGUGGGUCUGAUAGUGGUUUAUAAUCCUCAUUUUCCAUCAGUUAAAAGUGUAACAAGCAAUGACAACAAGUUGCAUUUCUAAACUGAAGUUCUUAACCUCUACUUUUCAUCUCCUUUUUGUCUUGGAAUCAUCCAGAAAUCUUAUCAGGCUGAGACACUAUAGAAACAUGUCAGUGGGUGGAUUUAUUAUGAUUAAUGUCCCCUAUUAUAUAUAAUCACCAUGGCGAAGCGAUGUUCAAGUCUUGGUCCAUGUCUUUAUCAAAGUGUCUCUUUGUCACAGUCUCUGCUGUUGUGACGUCGUUUAGCAGAAAUUCAAAUUUCUCUCCCACUCUCCCCCUGAGCCCCCUCACCAUAUCACUGCAUGCUCAAAAGCCCCCCACUCAGACAAUAGCCGUCUCUCAUGCCCAGUAGGCUUCCCCCCAAAACAACUUGCUCUCGGGUCUGGCCUCAGUGGCUUGGAAAGAAUGACUUCUUUUCCUCUCUUUCCUUCCUUCAGGCUUUCCUUUGCCCAUGAGCAGUGCAGUGUGAGCCCUGGUGAGAUAAACAGAGACUGUGUGUAGUCAUCAAUCACAAAAGAAGGGCACACACAGGGGUGCAUGCUAAGGAUAGUCAAAUCUGUGUGGAAUCUGGAGUGGAAAACUUAAAGAGGCAAAGUUCAAGACAAAAGCUGAGAGUGAGCAAUUCACAAGAGAUAAAGAUGUUUAUCUGAGAAGCCAGGGGCCUUCACAUUUUGGUAUACACUUUCCAUUUAAAAUACCAUAAUGCAUCUUUGUCACAUAUUAGAGCUGUCCAUCCCAUAAAGAGUGGUCCGUGUCAACAAUAAAGAUGUCCCAUGUGCUGUAACACUGUAAAAUCACACACAAGGACAUCACUAUUGUAGCGUUGUGUGGUUUAUUGUAAACGUUACAGCCCCACAGUGUAACAUCAAUGUCAAAAAGGCUGAGAGUGAAUACAGCACGGAUUCAGACACAGCAUAUUCAGAAACACUAAAAUACAAUCAAAUAAGACACCCCUUAAAUAGAUAUUUGUUCUUUCUUUGCUUUUAUUUUCGUGUGAAUAUGAUAAAGCGAUGUAACCUAUAAUGUCGUAAGGAGGUGCUAGUUGGUAGAUUUUCUUCCUCUGCACAGAUGCCAGCUGUUGCUUCCUGUUUUUACGCCAGGCUUACCCAACAAGCUGUUUGUGGCAUCUUUUGGAACAGACUCAUAUCCGAAUUUUAUCCGUUGAGUAAUCCGAUUUUUCCCCCAAAGAAAAUUAACAAAUGAGAAAUUUUGUCAUCCACAGGAAACGCUGCUAGAACAAACUAAUCGUUAAAAGAGAACAAAGGUUCCCCUAUUGUCUCAACAUUUUGAAUGUAUGUUUUAUGUCAAGUUUAGGGCUUUGUAGUCCCUGGGAACUCUGUGGGGGAGGGGGUAGUAGUUUUCCUGCUUCUGUUUUCCUUUUUCAGCCUCAUUCCCAAAGCCA